UCAACAGUGAGCAGCUGUCGCCCUAGCUAAGUGCUUAGGAACUAGGAGUUGAAAACAACUUCCACACCCUGGAGACAUGAGCUCUGCCCAGUCUUUUCCCUCCUCAGAAAUCAUCACUUUAAAGCACAUAUUCAAGAGAAUACAGUCUGCAGGAAAUCUGGAGGAAGACCUUCUAUGCUCAGGGUCCUUGUCACCCAAACUUCUAUUGUUCCAGGAUCGAACCCAGGACCUUGC